GACGAACGCUGGCGGCGUGCUUAACACAUGCAAGUCGAGCGGAAAGGCCACUUCGGUGGUACUCGAGCGGCGAACGGGUGAGUAACACGUGAGUAAUCUGCCCCUGGCUUCGGGAUAGCCACCGGAAACGGUGAUUAAUACCGGAUAUGACAGACCCUCGCAUGGGGGUGUGUGGAAAGUUUUUCGGCCAGGGAUGUGCUCGCGGCCUAUCAGCUUGAUGGUGAGGUAAUGGCUCACCAUGGCUUCGACGGGUAGCCGGCCUGAGAGGGUGACCGGCCACACUGGGACUGAGACACGGCCCAGACUCCUACGGGAGGCAGCAGUGGGGAAUAUUGGACAAUGGGCGGAAGCCUGAUCCAGCAACGCCGCGUGAGGGAUGACGGCCUUCGGGUUGUAAACCUCUUUCAGUACCGACGAAGCGCAAGUGACGGUAGGUACAGAAGAAGCACCGGCCAACUACGUGCCAGCAGCCGCGGUAAUACGUAGGGUGCGAGCGUUGUCCGGAAUUAUUGGGCGUAAAGGGCUCGUAGGCGGUUUGUCGCGUCGGGAGUGAAAACGCCGUGCUUAACACGGCGCUUGCUUCCGAUACGGGCAGACUAGAGGUAUUCAGGGGAGAACGGAAUUCCUGGUGUAGCGGUGAAAUGCGCAGAUAUCAGGAGGAACACCGGUGGCGAAGGCGGUUCUCUGGGAAUG
rnacentral:rRNA from 1 species